UAGUGUGGAGAUCAUUUCAUAUGGGCCCAUCUUUAGUCCCUACAAAUCGCAUUUUUAGCGUGAACUCGGUGAGGGAUUGUCUACGUCUAUCUACUUGGAUUCAUGGUCCCCUGCCAUGACUGUCGGUUUUGUACGCAUCAACAUCGUCUCCGUGCUACCAUGCUCUACUUGUAAGAAUUGCAGGAAUGGGAGAUUUCCCAAGGAGACCGGGUGGUGGUUCUAUGACAAUGAAGUAUAAGUAUUAGGUGGUUUUACUGUUUCUGGUCUGAAGCCAUUUUUAUUGACGCUUCCUACGGAAAGGCAUGAUUACCAAGGUUAAUUCAUCGACCGACACUGUUGACCAGUACCGUAUACUAACUGAUAUUUUGGUGUGCCCUUUGUCGGAAACAAGCUUAUAGCUUGCUGCUAAGAAGUGAGGCUUCUUUAAAAGUGGCCGGUUUCAACCUAAAGAUUUAAAAUGCAGGUUAGAAGUUUAAAUAGAUGGCUUAGGUGUUAUAUGGGUCAAAGUGUGUGUUUUACUUGAAAACUUAAAGGAUGGACUAAGGAGCUGAUGUGGGCGUAGGCAAUGUCCACUGGCAUAGCAUACGUUGUUGCAUGGGAUCCUACACUCAGAACUUUCUGAGCUACGUUGGGUAGCUGAGAAAAAUGUUGGGCCAGAUGUACAGUUAGCAUACUUAUGCACAACUGGUACUUGGGAGAUGUUUGCUACUUCUUUUAUUUUACAUGUAAAUAAAUCUGAGUUAAUUACUCACAUUAAUGCUUUUAUAUGUGGUGAUUUAAUGGUGUAGGUAUAGUUGCCAAAGUGUGAAAAGAAGUGCGAUUAAGUCUCAAGUUAGCAACGAAGAUCUAAAAAUACUUUUUUUUUUCUAAUCAUU
rnacentral:lncRNA from 1 species